AUGUUGCAGGAGAUAGAACAAAAGGUGACCAGUAUGUCGGAUUCUAGCUCGGGAACCAAGAACCUGAACCUGAAACAGGACCAGGGAGUCCAGGGGGGUCUGGUCUCUGCAGGUUCUGACCAGGAGUCAGCUGAGCUUCUGGCCUCAAAACUGGAGCUUCUCAAGACCAACCUUGUUUCCUUCCAGCACCUCCUGGAGGAACGCCAUGGGGAGGAGAGGAUGACCCCUGCUCUCCAAGACCCGGGAGGGCGUGGGAUGGCCAGGUUGCAGCGCAGCGCCAGCGUUCAGGAGAUGUUCUCCUCUCCGAAGAACCAGCUGCUGCGUCAGAGCAGCGUUCAGCAGCAGAAGGAGAUGGAACUGGAGCUGAGUGAGCAGAGGGGACUGACCCGAGCCAUCGCUAGGCAACACAGCAGAGGACGCCUCCACGGCCAGGACCCAGAGGAACCAAGCUUGCCGUCGCCACGGAGAACCUCCGUCCAGUCUGCCGUAGUCGGGAUGGAGGAGGAGGAGGAGGAGCUGGGGUGGAGGAGCUGGGACCUCCUCCAGACUCAACUCCUGGCACUGGAGGAGGAGGUGUUCCGACGACCUGAGGAGGUACAGAGCCUCCUCAUUAUCUCCUACAUGUCCUGUUCUCCUCCCUCUGCUCCCUCUGUUCAUCACCCCCUCAGGAUUCUCUCUCCCUCUUUCUCUCUCUCUCGCUCUCUCUCUCUCUUUAUCUCUCUUUAUCUCUCUCUCUCUUUCUCUCUCUCUCUCUCUCUCCCUCCCUCUCUCUCCCUCUCUCUGUCUCUCUCUCUCUCUCUCUCUCUCUCUCUCGCUCUCUCUCUUUUUCUCUCUCUCUUCUUUAUCUCUCUCUCUCUAUCUCUCUCUCUCUCUCUCUCUCUCUCUCUCUCUCUCUCUCUCUCUCUCUCUCUCUCUCUCUCUCUCUCUCUCUCUCUCUCUCUCUGUCUCUCUCUCUCUCUAUUCAUCUCUCUUUAUCUCUCUCUAUCUCCCUCCAUCUCUCUCUCUCUCUCUCUCCCUCCCUCUCUCUCUCUUUCUCUCUCUCUCUCUCCGUCUCUCUCGCUCUUUCUCUCUCUUCACUACGGACCUUCUGUCUCUAUCUGUCUGUCUGUCUGUCUGUCUGUCUGUCUGUCUGUCUGUCUGUCUGUCUGUCUGUCUGUCUGUCUGUCUGUCCCUCUCUGA
rnacentral:lncRNA from 1 species